UGGCUCAGAGGUUAAGAGCACUGACUGCUACUCCAGAGGUCCUGAGUUCAAUUCUCAG
rnacentral:tRNA from 1 species